ACACAUGCAAGUCGAACGGCAGCGCGUCCUUCGGGAUGGCGGCGAGUGGCGAACGGGUGAGUAAUACAUCGGAACGUGCCCGAGAGUGGGGGAUAACGCAGCGAAAGCUGUGCUAAUACCGCAUACGAUCUCAGGAUGAAAGCAGGGGACCGCAAGGCCUUGCGCUCACGGAGCGGCCGAUGGCAGAUUAGGUAGUUGGUGGGAUAAAAGCUUACCAAGCCGACGAUCUUUAGCUGUUCUGAGAGGAAGAUCAGCCACACUGGGACUGGGACACGGCCCAGACUCCUACGGGAGGCAGCAGUGGGGAAUAUUGGACAAUGGGCGCAAGCCUGAUCCAGCCAUGCCGCGUGAGUGAUGAAGGCCUUAGGGUUGUAAAGCUCUUUUACCAGGGAAGAUAAUGACGGUACCUGGAGAAUAAGCCCCGGCUAACUUCGUGCCAGCAGCCGCGGUAAUACGAAGGGGGCUAGCGUUGCUCGGAAUCACUGGGCGUAAAGCGCACGUAGGUGGGUCGUUAAGUCGGGGGUGAAAUCCUGGAGCUCAACUCCAGAACUGCCUUCGAUACUGGCGAUCUUGGAGCCCGGGAGAGGUGAGUGGAACUGCGAGUGUAGAGGUGAAAUUCGUAGAUAUUCGCAAGAACACCAGUGGCGAAGGCGGCUCACUGGCCCGGUACUGACACUGAGGUGCGAAAGCGU
rnacentral:rRNA from 1 species